GGCAAGUCCGGGCUCCACCGGGCACGGUGCCCGGUAACGCCUGGGCGGCGCGCGCCGCCGGAAAGUGCAACAGCAAGAUACCGCCGAACGGUCCUGCGGGAUGCGUGGCAAGGGUGAAAUGGUGCGGUAAGGGCGCACCGCGAGCCUGGUAACAGGCCGGCACGGCAAACCCCACCGGGAGCAAGACCGAAUAGGGACCCCAUGACGUUGCCCGCGUCGGGUCCGGGUAGGUUGCUUGAGCGUAUCGGUGACGAUGCGCCCAGAGGAAUGGUUGCCCACGACAGAACCCGGCUUACAGGCCGGCUCCGCCA
rnacentral:RNase_P_RNA from 1 species